UACGGAGGGAGCUAGCGUUGUUCGGAAUUACUGGGCGUAAAGCGUCCGCAGGUGGCUGUGUAAGUCUGCUGUCAAAGAGCAAAGCUCAACUUUGUAAAGGCAGUGGAAACUGAACAGCUAGAGUAUGGUGAGGGCAGAGGGAAUUCCUGGUGUAGCGGUGAAAUGCGUAGAGAUCAGGAAGAACAUCGGUGGCGAAGGCGCUCUGCUGGACCAUAACUGACACUCAGGGACGAAAGCUAGGGGAGCGAAUGGG
rnacentral:rRNA from 1 species